rnacentral:rRNA from 1 species
GAUCCAGCAACGCCGCGUGAGGGAUGACGGCCUUCGGGUUGUAAACCUCUUUCAGUAGGGACGAAGCUAACGUGACGGUACCUACAGAAGAAGCACCGGCCAACUACGUGCCAGCAGCCGCGGUAAUACGUAGGGUGCGAGCGUUGUCCGGAAUCAUUGGGCGUAAGAGCUCGUAGGCGGUUCAGCAAGUCGGCUGUGAAAGUCCGAGGCUCAACCUCGGAAUUGCAGUCGAUACUGCUGUGACUCGAGUCCGGUAGAGGAGAAUGGAAUUCCCGGUGUAGCGGUGAAAUGCGCAGAUAUCGGGAGGAACACCAGUAGCGAAGGCGGUUCUCUGGGCCGGCACUGACGCUGAGGAGCGAAAGCGUGGGGAGCAAACAGGAUUAGAUACCCUGGUAGUCCACGCCGUAAACGUUGGAUACUAGGUGUGGCGGUCUUACCAACGACUGCCGUGCCGAAGCUAACGCAUUAAGUAUCCCGCCUGGGGAGUACGGCCGCAAGGCUA